rnacentral:lncRNA from 1 species
AGCAAUUAGUUAGCAACAUUGGGUUUUUAAUGACGUUGGUGGGCAAUAUUAGUAACUUGUUUGAGGUGAUUGCAUCAAUGUUACCACCUUUAAACGCCUCAAAGUCUUCCUCAUCAUAACAGUCGGGUCCUCCGCCUCAACUAUAGCAGCAGAAACAGCAAUAACUGCCACCCCCUUAGUGAGCUUUGUAUCAGAUACUUCUUUGUAUUUUCGUACUUUUCACAGAUGUUUACAUUGAGUUUCUUUUAUUUUUAUUGUUUAUGGUUUGUAUUACAUUUUUAUGCAUAUAUGUUUGCUAUAUGUUUACUUUAUCAAUAACAACAUCAUAUAAUAAUUGUCAUGACCCGGAACUCCCAUCGAGCCCUUGACAACCACCGCGACAUCCCGAU